UCCGGUAUGGUGUAGUGGCUAACAUUUCGCGCUCUCAUAACCUGAGGGAUAUCUUCUCCAAGAUCCGCGGAGCCCGGGGUUCAAUUCCCCGUACCGGAG
rnacentral:tRNA from 1 species